CCUACGGGAGGCAGCAGUGAGGAAUAUUGGUCAAUGGACGAGAGUCUGAACCAGCCAAGUAGCGUGAAGGAUGACUGCCCUAUGGGUUGUAAACUUCUUUUAUAUGGGAAUAACAUGUUCCACGUGUGGGAUUCUGUAUGUACCAUAUGAAUAAGGAUCGGCUAACUCCGUGCCAGCAGCCGCGGUAAUACGGAGGAUCUGAGCGUUAUCCGGAUUUAUUGGGUUUAAAGGGAGCGUAGGUGGAUUGUUAAGUCAGUUGUGAAAGUUUGAGGCUCAACCGUAAAAUUGCAGUUGAAACUGGCAGUCUUGAGUACAGUAGAGGUGGGCGGAAUUCGUGGUGUAGCGGUGAAAUGCUUAGAUAUCACGAAGAACUCCGAUUGCGAAGGCAGCUCACUGGACUGCAACUGACACUGAGGCUCGAAAGUGUGGGUAUCAAACAGGAUUAGAUACCCGGGUAGUC
rnacentral:rRNA from 1 species